rnacentral:rRNA from 1 species
GAUGAACGCUGGCGGCGUGCCUAAUACAUGCAAGUCGAGCGAACAGAUGAGGAGCUUGCUCCUUUGACGUUAGCGGCGGACGGGUGAGUAACACGUGGGUAACCUACCUAUAAGACUGGGAUAACUUCGGGAAACCGGAGCUAAUACCGGAUAACAUUUGGAACCGCAUGGUUCUAAAGUGAAAGAUGGUUUUGCUAUCACUUAUAGAUGGACCCGCGCCGUAUUAGCUAGUUGGUAAGGUAACGGCUUACCAAGGCAACGAUACGUAGCCGACCUGAGAGGGUGAUCGGCCACACUGGAACUGAGACACGGUCCAGACUCCUACGGGAGGCAGCAGUAGGGAAUCUUCCGCAAUGGGCGAAAGCCUGACGGAGCAACGCCGCGUGAGUGAUGAAGGGUUUCGGCUCGUAAAACUCUGUUAUUAGGGAAGAACAAAUGUGUAAGUAACUGUGCACGUCUUGACGGUACCUAAUCAGAAAGCCACGGCUAACUACGUG